UUUGGUUCAAUUUUGGCUCGGCUUGUUUGAGGUGUUGAUUGAUUGGAGUAUAUACUGAGUCUUGAAAAGCUUUGAUGAUCUCCCUUAGGCAUAACAUCUAGUAUUAGAGCCUCGUAUGGGCCUUUUUCAGCCAAAAAUAAUUGAAGGCAUCCAAGUCGCGCUAUUUUUUGAAUGAAACGAACCUGAAAUUGUCGAUUUCAGCCAAACCAAUCACCGGCCGAAGAAACGGAUUCUUAUAAAUGCUCAGCAGGUAGAGGCACUCCUUUCUAGGUGGCUCGUUGAGGUAGUUGCUGCCGAUGGCGUCGCGUGGGCAGCAAUUCUAGAGAAGCAGUUUUCAAACAUGUUGUUUGUUUUAUUAUUCUGAACAUACUGAUAUCGUUAAUUUCGUGUUUCAGGUUAUACAAUAAAACUUAGACGAUUUUGUCCAUGGACACUUGACUUGCGAUCUUUGGUCAAUCAUGUUGGUACAUCCACUGAAACUUUAAGGCGACUAGUAGUGACCCUAAAGCGAUAGAUUCACAUCUCUCGAUUUUACGAACCUUUAAAUGUGGUCUACUCUGGUAAAUUGGUAUAUCUCAUUUUAUUUCCAACACUAGCGCAUUAUCAUAUGGGG
rnacentral:lncRNA from 1 species